rnacentral:rRNA from 2 species
UGCCCCAGUAACGGCGAGUGAAGCGGCAACAGCUCAGAUUUGAAAUCUGGUCCCCAGGGCCCGAGUUGUAAUCUGUAGAGGAUGUUUCUGGCAAGGCGCCGUCCGAGUUCCCUGGAACGGGACGCCGGAGAGGGUGAGAGCCCCGUACAGGCGGACGCCGAGCCUCUGUGAAACUCCUUCGACGAGUCGAGUAGUUUGGGAAUGCUGCUCAAAGCGGGAGGUAAAUUUCUUCUAAAGCUAAAUAUAGGCCAGAGACCGAUAGCGCACAAGUAGAGUGAUCGAAAGAUGAAAAGCACUUUGAAAAGAGGGUUAAAAAGCACGUGAAAUUGUUGAAAGGGAAGCGCCUGUGACCAGACUCGCGCCCGGCGUAUCAUCCGGCGUUCUCGCCGGUGCACUACGCCGGGCUCGGGCCAGCAUCGGUUCUGGUGGGGGGAUAAAGGCGGCGGGGAUGUGGCUCCCCCGGGAGUGUUAUAGCCCGCCGCUCAAUGCCCUCGCCGGGACCGAGGACCGCGCAUUGCAAGGAUGCUGGCGUAAUGGUCACCAGCGACCCGUCUUGAAACACGGACCAAGGAGUCAAGCAUUAGGGCGAGUGUUUGGGUGUAAAACCCGCACGCGAAAUGAAAGUGAACGUAGGUGGGAGCCUCGGCGCACCAUCGACCGAUCCUGAUGUCUUCGGAUGGAUUUGAGUAAGAGCCUUAACGCUUGGACCCGAAAGAUGGUGAACUAUGCUUGUGUAGGGUGAAGCCAGAGGAAACUCUGGUGGAGGCUCGCAGCGGUUCUGACGUGCAAAUCGAUCGUCAAACAUGAGCAUGGGGGCGAAAGACUAAUCGA